rnacentral:rRNA from 1 species
GCUGACGAGUGGCGGACGGGUGAGUAAUGUCUGGGAAACUGCCUGAUGGAGGGGGAUAACUACUGGAAACGGUAGCUAAUACCGCAUAACGUCGCAAGACCAAAGAGGGGGACCUUCGGGCCUCUUGCCAUCGGAUGUGCCCAGAUGGGAUUAGCUAGUAGGUGGGGUAACGGCUCACCUAGGCGACGAUCCCUAGCUGGUCUGAGAGGAUGACCAGCCACACUGGAACUGAGACACGGUCCAGACUCCUACGGGAGGC